rnacentral:rRNA from 1 species
CGGCCUUCGGGUUGUAAACCUCUUUCAGUAGGGAAGAAGCGAAAGUGACGGUACCUGCAGAAGAAGCGCCGGCUAACUACGUGCCAGCAGCCGCGGUAAUACGUAGGGCGCAAGCGUUAUCCGGAAUUAUUGGGCGUAAAGAGCUCGUAGGCGGUUUGUCGCGUCUGCCGUGAAAGUCCGGGGCUCAACUCCGGAUCUGCGGUGGGUACGGGCAGGCUAGAGUGAUGUAGGGGAGACUGGAAUUCCUGGUGUAGCGGUGAAAUGCGCAGAUAUCAGGAGGAACACCGAUGGCGAAGGCAGGUCUCUGGGCAUUAACUGACGCUGAGGAGCGAAAGCAUGGGGAGCGAACAGGAUUAGAUACCCUGGUAGUCCAUGCCGUAAACGUUGGGCACUAGGUGUGGGGGACAUUCCACGUUUUCCGCGCCGUAGCUAACGCAUUAAGUGCCCCGCCUGGGGAGUACGGUCGCAAGGCUAAAACUCAAAGGAAUUGACGGGGGCCCGCACAAGCGGCGGAGCAUGCGGAUUAAUUCGAUGCAACGCGAAGAACCUUACCAAGGCUUGACAUGAACCGGACCGCUGCAGAAAUGUGGUUUCCCCUUUGGGGCUGGUUUACAGGUGGUGCAUGGUUGUCGUCAGCUCGUGUCGUGAGAUGUUGGGUUAAGUCCCGCAACGAGCGCAACCCUCGUUCUAUGUUGCCAGCACG